UGGGGAAUAUUGCACAAUGGGCGGAAGCCUGAUGCAGCGACGCCGCGUGAGGGAUGACGGCCUUCGGGUUGUAAACCUCUUCAGCAGGGACGAAGCGAGAGUGACGGUACCUGCAGAAGAAGCGCCGGCCAAACUACGUGCCAGCAGCCGCGGUAAUACGUAGGAUGCAAGCGUUGUCCGGAAUUAUUGGGCGUAAAGGGUGCGCAGGCGGUUUUUCAAGUCAGAUGUGAAAUAUCCCGGCUUAACUGGGAGGGGCCAUUUGAAACUGAAAGACUAGAGUGCAGGAGAGGAUAGCGGAAUUCCCGGUGUAGUGGUGAAAUGCGUAGAUAUCGGGAGGAACACCAGUGGCGAAGACGGCUAUCUGGCCUGCAACUGACGCUGAGGCACGAAGGCUAGGGGAGCGAACAGGAUUAGAUACC
rnacentral:rRNA from 1 species